UGCCAGCCGCCGCGGUAAUACGUAGGUGGCAAGCGUUAUCCGGAUUUAUUGGGCGUAAAGCGAGCGCAGGCGGUCUUUUAAGUCUAAUGUGAAAGCCUUCGGCUCAACCGAAGAAGUGCAUUGGAAACUGGGAGACUUGAGUGCAGAAGAGGACAGUGGAACUCCAUGUGUAGCGGUGAAAUGCGUAGAUAUAUGGAAGAACACCAGUGGCGAAGGCGGCUGUCUGGUCUGUAACUGACGCUGAGGCUCGAAAGCAUGGGUAGCGAACAGGAUUAGAUA
rnacentral:rRNA from 1 species